rnacentral:rRNA from 1 species
GACAGAGGGGGCAAGCGUUGCUCGGAAUCACUGGGCGUAAAGGGCGCGUAGGCGGGAUGGCAAGUCGGACGUGAAAUCCCUCGGCUUAACCGGGGAACGGCGUCCGAUACUGGAUGGCUUGAGUUUGGGGAGAGGGAUGCGGAAUUCCAGGUGUAGCGGUGAAAUGCGUAGAUAUCUGGAGGAACACCGGUGGCGAAGGCGGCAUCCUGGACCAAAACUGACGCUGAAUAGCGAAAGCCAGGGGAGCAAACGGG